GACGAACGCUGGCGGCGUGCCUAAUACAUGCAAGUUGAGCGCUGAAGGUUGGUACUUGUACCAACUGGAUGAGCAGCGCACGGGUGAGUAACGCGUGGGGAAUCUGCCUUUGAGCGGGGGACAACAUUUGGAAACGAAUGCUAAUACCGCAUAAAAACUUUAAACACAAGUUUUAAGUUUGAAAGAUGCAAUUGCAUCACUCAAAGAUGAUCCCGCGUUGUAUUAGCUAGUUGGUGAGGUAAAGGCUCACCAAGGCGAUGAUACAUAGCCGACCUGAGAGGGUGAUCGGCCACAUUGGGACUGAGACACGGCCCAAACUCCUACGGGAGGCAGCAGUAGGGAAUCUUCGGCAAUGGACGAAAGUCUGACCGAGCAACGCCGCGUGAGUGAAGAAGGUUUUCGGAUCGUAAAACUCGGUUGGUAGAGAAGAACGUUGGUGAGAGUGGAAAGCUCAUCAAGUGACGGUAACUACCCAGAAAGGGACGGCUAACUACGUG
rnacentral:rRNA from 1 species